rnacentral:tRNA from 1 species
AGGGGCGUAGCUCAGCUGGCAGAGCACCGGUCUCCAAAACCGGGUGUCGCAGGUUCGAGUCCUGUCGCCCCUGCCA